rnacentral:lncRNA from 1 species
AUGCACUGUGCAUCCAUUUAUGGAUUCUACAAAGUUUCAUUGAACACCUACUGUGUACUGGAACUAUAUGUUUAUUCUACACACACUUACUGUGUGCACUGCUGUGUAGGGUGUGACUCCCUUUGGAUAGGCCCCUCAGUGUUUACCGGCCUGUGUGUGUGGAUGGACAAGCUCUAUUCUUGGUUACGUGAUGUUGAGAUUUCCGUGGGCAUAGUGGCCCUUCUGAAGGCUUCUCCCUACAAACCCCAUGCCUCUGCAUCACCCCAUGGCUUUUCCCUUUCAGUAUUCCCAUCUACUCCAUUGAAAACCUCUAUGAAAACCUCAGAAAGAUGCUUCCUGGGCUGGUGGAGAACAAGGUGUGCUUUAGGCUCAAAGAAGUUGUCCACAAAUUGAACACCAAGCCGGUGGAGGGCAUUAUCUCUAUUCGGCAUGCUAAUCUCUGGCCUGAAAAUUGCAGUUAAAGUCUAGGCUUUCCAACAAGGGAUCGGCCUCUGCUGAGCUGGUGAGUGCUGCUACCCAGUCCCCAGGGUUUGGAGGCUGACUCCCAGUAGGGGGCAGCAGGGUGUCUGGGACAGUGACGUUCACAGAGAGAGACAAAGAGCCACAUAGACAGACACAGAGAUACACAGAAUGUUCGCAGAAAUGCUGACAGAGAUGGAGAGACACAGGUUGCACUGCAUCAUAGCUACAAAGAGAAACUCACAUGGUCAUGGAUACACUCACAUGUCCAGACAAAUACCUGGUCACUCAGACACACAUAUGGAGGCACCCUAUCACACCAGCACACUCACACACAUGUGCACACAUUUGCAGGCUCUCCACACAGAAGUACACGUGGAUACACAAACACACACUCACUCAAAUACAUGCACAAGGAGUCCCCUGACCCCACACCUGGGCUACUCUUGUGGCUAAGACAAGAUCCCCAUCCACAGGGUCUCAGUCUCCUCACCUCCCUCUGGAGACUGAGUUUGACGAUGGGCCAAUACCAAGAACAGUCUGUGACCUUGAGUCUCCAUUCUGAUUGGGGUCUUCUCCCAACAGAACCAUUUCCUGCUGUUCAAUCCACUCCCUGCCCAGCUUCUGAGGGCUCACAAAAGGAUGUCCCAUGUUCUGGAAAAUGACAUGACCAGAGCAGCAUUCUCUCUGAGGAAACUGCUCCCCCUCCUUUUCCACUAGGCAUGUGUUAUAUCCUGUGUUCCUCACCAAAUAAAGUUACUCUUCCCAAGCA